GGGAACGUGGUGCAAUCCGGCUAACAUUGGGGCCUCCAGAGCCUUAGAUCUGGGUUCAAAUCCCAGCGUUCCCA
rnacentral:tRNA from 1 species